rnacentral:rRNA from 1 species
AUAUAAAUAGCCGCUAUUUUUAGUGCUAAGGUAGCAUAAUCAUUUGUCUUUUAAAUGAGGACCAGAACAAAAGAUUUAACAUUUAAUAUUAUUUAUUUAAAUUAAUAUUCAAAAUUAUUCUAAAUGUAAAAAAACAUUUAUAAUGAAGAAAGACGAUAAGACCCUAUUAAACUUAACUUAAGUUUAACUGGGGCAGUUAAUUAAUUAUUAUUUUAAUCAAAAUAAAAUAUUCAUAAUCUAAUAAAAUUAAAUAAUUCAGUUACUAUAGGGAUAACAGCGCAAUAGUAUUUUAAAGCUCUUAUAUAAAAAAUAAAUUACGACCUCGAUGUUGAAUUAAUUACCUGUUUAAAGCAAAUUUUAAAUAAGGAAGUCUGUUCGACUUUCAAAUAAUUACAUGAUUUGAGUUCAGACCGGUGUAAGCCAGGUCGGUUUCUAUCUUCUUUAAACAUUUUUACAGUACGAAAGGACCUAAAAAACUAAUGAUAUUAUCUUAUUGGCAGAAUAAUGCAUUAGAAUUAGAAUCUAAUUAUAAUAAA